GGGGAAUAUUGCACAAUGGAGGGAACUCUGAUGCAGCGACGCCGCGUGAGCGAUGAAGGCUUUCGAGUCGUAAAGCUCUGUCGAAUGGGAAGAUAAUGACGGUACCAUUUGAGAAAGCCCCGGCUAACUACGUGCCAGCAGCCGCGGUAAUACGUAGGGGGCGAGCGUUGUCCGGAAUUAUUGGGCGUAAAGGGUUCGUAGGCGGCAAUGUAUGUCAGGUGUGAAAGACGGUGGCUCAACCAACGCAAGCAUCUGAAACUGCAUAGCUUGAGAAAAGGAGAGGUAAGUGGAAUUCCUAGUGUAGCGGUGAAUGCGUAGAUAUUAGGAGGAAUACCAGUGGCGAAGGCGACUUACUGGACUUUAACUGACGCUGAUGAACGAAAGCGUGGGGAGCAAAC
rnacentral:rRNA from 1 species